CUUCUCAGUUAUUGCUGUCAAAUUGUUCAAGUUAUUCAACUUUUUCUUUUUUUGUACACCUCAGUACUCCGGCGAAAUGGAGCUGUUGACAAAAAAGAUUAUGAUCUGCACUAUUUGCUAGGGAUGAAAUUCUUUGUGUUGUGUCCGUGUAUAGUGAUAUGCGAUCAGGCUGACAGGGCCCUUUAAGUUGGAUUUACUGUUUUGUAGAAUACAUGUAUGUAUGAUGAGAGCGGUUUACUCCUGCAGCUUAUAGCAUCUAUUUGCAAAAAUAAAUAAAUAGAUCCUUACCAUUUUCAUGAAUCUGUUCUGAGUAAUCAUGGUGUGCUUACACAUACGCAUAGCUAUUGCUGAUACGUAAAUGAUGCUGCAUAAGGAAGAUUAAGGAAGUAGGAAAAUUAGCCUACGAGAAAAUAGUUGUUCGUUAGCUGGUUAGUUUGGUCAGCUUGGGUGCAGGAAGGCUAUGUUUUCAUCCCCAUCCUUCCCCUUUUCAUUUAAUGUUCAUCAGUUUAUUUAUUCUUUCUGAUUCAUCUACUAAUUUGGAUAUAUGUUUAGGUUAGGUUUCACUUUUCAGCAAGUUAAUCUGGAAUUUCAUGUCUGCAUCAUGAAAUUUUUAUUGCCAUUCUUUACUUUCUUUUUAAUUAGCUAUAAUUAGGUAAUAGGCCAUGAAUAUGAGGUGCAGAUUGCGUAUGGAAGAAUUAUAGAGCACAAAAAAACUAAGGACACUAUUAUGUUUUGAGUGGCUUGGGAAGGGGAGUAAGGCCGUGGCUUGCGAGGUAAAAGGGCAGAGAAACGCUGUUGUUGAGGCUGCUCCCAAAGCAGAGAUCUUCAAUGGCGAUGUAGGGGAAUUCCAGUGCCCACACAAGUUCCUCCAUUUGGCGAUAUUUGAUGAUGAUAUCAAUAUUUAUGUUACUGGGAGCGAGUGACCAAUCGGCAGAAUGUUUAGCUCAUGGAGCUAUCAUCCGAUGAUGCAGUUGGCACGCGGAAAACCAUUGUUUCAGAUUAUCCAUUGUUUCAGUAGUCCAUGGUGCUGAAGGAGUACCCUGAUGCACCCACAGUUGCGUAGAAAUGUGGAUUCGUCGAGUGGAUCUCCAUGAAAGCAGGUUUGCAGAUACUCAGAUAGGGAAUUAUGCACACACACGCACACUUGGUAAGUUAAGUCUCAUUACAUAUAUCAUUUCAUAUAUUUACUCUUCCAGCCUUUUUUUAGAUUCAUUUCCACACGCUUCGGGGUGUUGCAAUAUUGGGUGAAUGUUACUGGUAGACGCGGACGCGGCCUGUAGCCAUUCCAGUUACUUGCUUUUGU